CACCUACUCCCUCCAUUCCGAAUUACUUGUCACAAAAAUGGAUAAAAAUGGAUAUAUCAAUAACUAAAGAUAUGUCUAGAUACAUCCAUUUAUGUGAAACAAGUAAUUCCAGACGGAGGGAGUACAUA
rfam:Triticum aestivum genome assembly, contig: Triticum_aestivum_CS42_TGACv1_scaffold_226632_3B